UGGAUUACGGUGGAUACCUAGGCACCCAGAGAUGAGGAAGGGCGUGGUAAGUGAGGAAAUGCUUUGGGGAGUUGAAAAUGAGCAUAGAUCCGGAGAUUUCUGAAUAGGUUAACCUUUUUAACUGAUGCUGAAUCCAUGGGCAGGCAAGACACAACCUAGCGAACUGAAACAUCUUAGUAUCUAGAGGAAUAGAAAGCAAAAAUGAUUCCCAUAGUAGUGGCGAGUGAAAUGGGAGUAGCCUAAACCAUGAAAAUGGGGUUGUGGGAGAGCACAAUAUAAGCUCUGCGAUGCUAGGCGAAGCAGUUGAGUCCUGCACCCUAGAUGGUGAGAUUCUAGUAGCCAAAAGCAUCAUUGGGUUACGCUCUAACCCAAGUAGGAUGGGGCACGUGGAAUCUCGUGUGAAUUAGCAAGGACCACCUUGCAAGGCUAAAUACUCCUGGGUGACUGAUAGCGAAGUAGUACCAUGAGGGAAAGGUGAAAACAACGCCCAUCGAGGAGUGAAAUAGAACAUGAAACCGUAAGCUCCCAAGCAGUGGGAGGAAAAUUAUAUCUUUGACCACAUGCCUAUUGAAGAAUGAGCCAGUGACUUAUAGACAAUGGCUUGGUUAAGGGAACCCAUCGGAGCCAUAGCGAGAGAGAGUCUUCAUGGGGAAAUUGUCAUUGCUUAUGGACCCGAACCUGGGUGAUCUAUCCAUGACUAGGAUGAAGCUUGGGUGAAAAUAAGUGGAGGUCCAAACCGACUGAUGUUGAAAAAUUAGUGGAUGAGUCAUGGUUAGGGAUAUGGAUUCACCAAGAAGGUUUUUUCCUUACAACUCUGCAGAUUAUUUGUUCGGGGAAUUUAAUAUUAUGAAGGCUAUAGUGGAAGAAAUGUACGAGGAUCUAAAGAAAGAAAAGGGAG
rnacentral:ncRNA from 1 species